rnacentral:lncRNA from 1 species
UGUUCCCCCACCCCCCCCUUCCCUAAAACACUGGAGAAUUCAGGUCUGGAGCCUGACGGCACUGGAGUAUACAGCAUGUACUGUGCCCCUUGGAAUGCUGGCUGCACUUAAAAGCUUUCUUUAAACAACACAGGAUCCUUUUGCUUUAUCAUGUUACUUGUUUAUUAUCUGCUGCUUCUGUGAGGGAAGAGAAUUGGAAUCUGCCGUGAAAAGGAGAUGCUAAUGGAUCUGGCAAGGAUCGUCAAGCAAGGAGUGACUACCCUGAGCAAUCUAGUGAGAUGUUCUUUAUACACUGUCUGUUGUUCUUCCUGGAAGCUGUGUUAAAACAACUUUUAGAAAGAAUAUUGCCAUGUACAUCACCUGACUGCUGACAGAGACCUGGAAAAAGACAUCCUGUGAACCUCUACUGAGACAAUCUACAAAAUUUGGUGCUGAAAUGAAGAAUGCUUGAAGCAUACUGUCUGAG